rnacentral:rRNA from 1 species
GAUGAACGCUAGCGGCAGGCUUAAUACAUGCAAGUCGAGGGGUAGCAAGAUUGCAGCAAUACAAUUGUUGACGACCGGCAAACGGGUGCGGAACACGUACACAACCUUCCUACAAGUGGGGAAUAGCCCAGAGAAAUUUGGAUUAAUACCCCGUAACAUAGCGAUGUGGCAUCACAUUGCUAUUAUAGCUUCGGCGCUUGUUGGUGGGUGUGCGGCUGAUUAGAUAGUUGGCGGGGUAACGGCCCACCAAGUCUACGAUCAGUAGCUGAUGUGAGAGCAUGAUCAGCCACACGGGCACUGAGACACGGGCCCGACUCCUACGGGAGGCAGCAGUAAGGAAUAUUGGACAAUGGACGCAAGUCUGAUCCAGCCAUGCCGCGUGAAGGAUUAAGGUCCUCUGGAUUGUAAACUUCUUUUAUAAGGGACGAAAAAAGGUCUUUCUAGAUCGUCUGACGGUACCUUAUGAAUAAGCACCGGCUAACUCCGUGCCAGCCGCCGCCGUAAAAC